AAUAAGCACCAGACCUUACAGCGGUGGUGUUACAAGUGCCUCAGGUGCUAAGCCAAACUGUGCUUACAGGGAUCGGUGAGUGAAGUCUCAUGCCACGUGCCCAGGACGAGCGUGGGGUAAGCGGUAUUUCGUGCAAAGCUGACGGAAGGAUAGAGUACCUUGAUGAGGAAACAGCUGCAUGAAAACUGCCGAUUUAGAGCAAGGCAGAGAAGCUUCACAGACACGGAAUGGAAGGAAAAACAAAAGACCAAAAGGGCAUAUGUCAGAGAAAUAUAAUCCUAGAAAUGAUUGAAGAAUAAGACUAUCGAAAACCAAGUGUGCCUGGAAAACUUCUGCAUACACUGCUAAAAUCUCAGUGGGAAACCGUGGAAGACUUUUUAAUCGAAAAGUGGGAUGGUGAUAAAUUGAAUGAUAGAAGCUCUACAGCUACACAAUUACGUUCCUACAUUCAACAUGGUACCUAAAACUUAAAGAUGUCUUUUAAUUGAAAAUAUAGAAAGUCUCCAAAGUUUCAUGUAAUUUCUCCAUGUUAUAGUGAAAAACAUACUACCCCAAACCACAUACAACAGUGGGCAUAAUGUGAUUAUUCUACCAACUAAAUCCACACCAUAGAAAAAUUUUAAGUAAGUUUAGUGUGAUGGGAAUAAAUACAACAAAUGUG